GUGCUUGCUUCGGCAGCACAUAUACUAAAAUUGGAAUGAUACAGAGAAGAUUAGCAUGGCCCCUGAGCAAGGAUGACACGAAAUUAAAAAAAAUAAAAUAAAAUAAA
rnacentral:snRNA from 1 species